AUUUUUUUGUUGUUCUGGCCAAGGAUUCUGAGGUGUCUUCCUUGGUUGACUACAUCCAUGAGACGACAAAACACACUGUGCAAAGGACCUUGAGAACAUCACCACUCUACAGGAAGACACAGUCCAGUAAUGGGUGUCAGAUGUUCAGCAGUGGACGACAGGACCAACCAAUCAAAAUGACUUGCAGAACGCCAUUGAGGACUCUAUUUGAGCAUUAAGCAGCAAAGAUUUCAGCUGUAUCGUCAGACUGG